GGGCGUGUAGCUCAGGGGUAGAGCAUUUGACUGCAGAUCAACAGGUCCCGGGUUCAAAUCCGGGUGCCCCCU
rnacentral:tRNA from 1 species